AUUCACAGCGUAUGACACUGCUGUCAUCAUGUCUCCUGGAUUCCUUUUUUUUUUCCCUAUAACAGCUCUAUCAAGCUAUAAUUCACAUGCCUUAAAAUUCACCUUUUUUGAAAUGUACAACUGAGUGAUUUGUAAUAUAUUCACAGAGUUGUGCAAUCUUAACAACUACUUAAUUCCAGAACAUUUACAUCACUUCAAAGAAACCCCAUACCCUAUAGCAGUCACUCCCAAUUCUCUUCUUCCACCCAUUCCCUGGAAACCACUAAUCUACUUUCCGUCUCUUUGGAUUUAACUACUCAGGACAUUUUAUAGUCAGCACGUAAGCCGGACUGUCUAGGAAAACCUCCCCUUCCUGUGUCUGGAGGUGUUGAAAAAAAUAAUUCAACAAUGCUGCCCCUGCUGGCCACCAGUGUACCAUGCAAUAAUUCCAUGGCCCCUGCCACAGCCCAGGAAAUGGAGGAAAUGGCCAGGCAGCCACAUUCUCUCAUCCUGCAGAAGGACCCUUCUAGGUGUUAGAGGUUGAGGGAUUUUGGCUACAUAUGGCCCCAUACAUCUUCCUAGCUAUAGAUUCCAAUGGAAGAAGAGAACUUUCUUUCCUCUACUGAGUGCAUAUAAACUUCUGCAUCUUGCUUCUGGCCUCAACUUGAUCUUCAGCAUCAACAUCAAGCAGAGCAGCAUGAGAUGCAGUGCAAUGAAUAAACAGUUCUUGGUCACGGGCUUGCCCUUGCAGUCUGGAAAGAAAAUCCUGCAACUGAGAGAGCCACCAUGAUUUCCUGAAGUAUUUGGUGAAGAACCAUUCUCCAAACGUGAAGUCAGGAGAUAUGUAUUGCUAUUAUCAGAGCUGAGGAAAAGACACUAGAAGUUUGAAAUCUCAGAUGUCCACAGCAUCAUGACACAUAGUUAGGAUUCCAUGCUGAAUAGAAGGGGGAACCUACUGAAGAGUUUUCAGCAGAAGAGAGACCCAAUAAAACUUGCGUGUAAAUUAUAACCAUUGCUUCUGUAUAGCAUUCUGAUUGGAGAGUCAGGUAUAGAUGCACAGAGAGCAGUUAGAAGGUUAUUAUAGUAGUCUAGAAGUGACUGUGGACUUGUAGGGAAAUGGCAAAUAUUUAGAAAACAAAUUCAAUAACACUCAGCAAUCAGUUGGACUUGGGGUAUGAGGAAGGGAGAAAUGUCUGGUCUGAUUCCAUCACAAGGCCUUGUAUAUGCUGUUCCCUUUGCCUAAAAAUUCCCUUAGCUCCUCUUUUAACCUGGCGAAAUGUUGCUCCUUCAUCAGGUCUCAGCUUGAGCAUCUCUUCUCCAGGGAAAUUGAUCCUCUUGCCUUUCCCCUGUUUAAUUUCCCUUCCCAUCACUUAUCACAGUUUAUAACGUUAUAUUCACUCACUUAUAAAGUACUUUCUUAAAUAUUUUAGCUCCUCUACAAGGAUGUAUAAUCCUUGAAGCAGGAGCUGUUCCCACCCAAGAAAAUGAAAAUCUCAGUCAUUAAGUACACAAACACGGGUCCAGAUUGCUUGGUUUCAAAUCUUGGUUCUGCUACUGGCCAGCUGUGUGAUCCAAGAAAAGCUACUCGACUUCUCUGUGUCUUCAUCUGCUCAUCUGUCAAAUGGAUAUAUGAGUAGUCCUACUUCAUGGAGUUGUUGCGAGGAAUCCAUUAGUACCUCUCCUAGUGCCUGCAGCCACGCAAUACAUAUUUGAAAAGUAAGUGGAAAUCUGUCAAGUGUAAGUUACUGUGUGGAUAUUGGUGUGAUGCACAGAGAAGAGGAAGCACUGGAAGAUGAUCAUGGAAGGGAGAGAAGGCAAGCUUGCAAAAUCAGCAUUGGCUAUUUAAAUAAUAUCUGCCUAUGAUGCUGUCAAGGAAAAAUGUUGUGGAGCCGUUGGAAAUGUGACAUUGAAGCUCAAAACAGAGGCCUGAGGGGAUUGAUUAAUUUCCCAGAGCCGCCAUAAUAAGGUACCACAAACUAGGUGGUUUAAAACAAUAAACAUUUAUUGUAUCACAGUUCUGGUGGCCAGAAGUCUGAAAUCAGGUAUUGGCAGGAUUUUGCCCCCUGAAGGGCCCUAGGGAAGGAUUCUUUCUUGCCAUUCCAGCUUCUGGUGGUCCCAAGUGAUCAUUGGCUUGCAGUAGCAUCACCCCAGUGUCUGCCCCUGUCUUCACAUGGCCUUCACUCUAUCUGAGUCCAAAUCUCCCUUUUCCUACGAGGAUAGCAGUCAUGUUGCAUAAAGGGUCCAACUACUCCAGUGUGACUUCAUCUUAACUACUUACAUCUGCCACAGUCCUACUUUCAAGAAAGUUCACAUUCUGAGGUAUUAAGGCAAUCAGUGUUUCAGUGUAUCUUUUGAGAGGACAUAAUUUCACCCACAACAGAAGUGAUAUACAUUUGGGGGUUACUGGCAUUUGAAUGCUAUUUUGAGCCAAGGCUAUAGAGAAGAGCAGCCUUGUAGCUAAGAGCUCAGGUCCUAUCAAUCCAUACAGACCUGGGAUUGACACUCAGUUCCAUUACUGACUGGCUCAGAUCUUGGUAAAGUUGCCUAACAUUUCGAAGACUUAGUUUCUUAGCCUGUUAAAAAAGGGAUAAUAAAACCUCCAGGUUUCUUGUAAAUAUGAACUGAGGAAAUGAUUGUAAAGUGGUGAGCAUAGCACAUCUUAUAGGGUGAGUCUUCAGUAAAUGGUGUCUGUUAGUUAAGAUUUUGUAUGGAAAGAAUCUAACCUGAGAAAGAAGGAAGAGUGAGGAAUAAAUUUUUAACCAAGAGGAAACACCCCAUUUUAGUUAGAAAUGACCCAAGAGAGCAACCAGAAUAAUGAAAAUACUAUAAAUUAUUUUCUGGUGUUUUGGAUUUAUAUAUAGUUCAAGAAUUUAGCCCUGUGCCUGACCUAAGACAGAUAAUCAAUAUGCAGUUGGAUGGCUAGACUGAAUGAACAUCAGGGACAUAUUUAGCCACCAGAAGAGGAGUAUUAAGGGUACAUAGGUAGGGAAAGAGGAUUGAAAGUUACCUAGAAAUCUGGAAGGCUCUGAUGCAGAAGAGAUAUUAUACCUACUCUGUAAAUGUGGAACUAGAACUAGGGGAUAGAAAUUAUAGGGAGAAUCAUUUUUACUCAAUACUGAACAUUUGCUGAGGUCCCCAAUCCUCAAUGUUUGCAAACAGAGAUGGAUAACACCUAGCCAAAUCAUUUAUACAAGGUGUCUUUGUACUGGGGAGAUGGUUGGAUUAGAGGUCUGAUAAAUUUAUUUCCACCUGUGAUUCCAAAUUGAUGUUAAAGAGACUAUAAAUAAGAAACAUUUAUUAGAUGAAAGGAAUAUGAUAGACACAAUUUAAGAAGAGACAUUAAGCAGUAUAAAAUUCCUUCCUAUCUAAUUUAGUUUCUAACUCAGCUCUAUUUUCAAAGGCCAAAGCUACCAGCCCUUGAAUUCCCAUUACACUUAUUCUCCCUUAUGUUAGAUUUUAUAUGGAGGAGGACCAACAGUUUUUGAGAAGCACCUCUGGAUCAAAACAAUGAUCCGUAAUUCCUUAAGUAAAAGCUAGUAAUCAUAUUAAUGUUCUUUAGAAGAAAGAAAGCCAAGCCAGGAUAGUAAAACAGAAAGCAUUUCCCAUCAUUUUUGGAUAAGGCAGAAGACAAAGUCCAGUUUCUUUCGAGUCUGAAGGGGAAGUUUAAAAUUUUCAGGACUAUAAAGGACAAUGCAAGAGAGGCAUUGAAGCGAUGGGGGAAGAAAACAGUAGGGGGUUCCCUAUUUUAAAACCACUUCUGAAGUGAAUUCUAGCUUCAUCUUGCCUUCAUUCCCAGCUCCAUCCUUGGGAAUGAAAGAUUUAUUCUUCUAGCUGCCUGGAAUUCUGCUGGCUGAGAGCUCUACAUUGCCAGGCUUCUUCAGGAAUUGCCCGAGUGGAACAGGGCCACCUUGCCCACAGGUAUUCCCUUCCUUGAGCAACCCUCAUUUAGUGAUUGAUCAAUUAAUGCAUCAAAAGGUCUGACAUACUUCCAUCAUCCAGGGACGUCUCUGAAGGCCAUCUCAGCUUCAGAGCUCCCCAUGAAGUUGACUGAAGUUUUUAUUGGAUUUUGUGUCAGUCAACUUCUUCAAUCAUUUUUUAAGAUCACUGUAUUUAUUUGAAAAAAUUGCCAAAGAAGAUUGUUUCUUUGCGAUUUUGUGUUAUUAUUAUUAUUAAACAGCUUUAGUGAGGUAUAAUGGAUAUAAAAUAAACUGCACUUAUUUAUGUAUAAAUAGAAUGACUUUGGAUAUAUGCAUAUACCUGUGAAAUCAUCACUACAAUCAAGGUAAUAGGGAAAUCAAUCACCUCCAAAAGUUUUCUUCCAUUGCAAUUUUAAAAGAUGUGUUUUAUAUACCAUGUAGAUAAAAAUGGAAAAUUGGAGCAAAAAAAACAACUUCUUUUUAUGAGAACGUUAAAAAAAAUAUUUUCUAGAUGUACCAAUUAAAACAUGCUUAAAAUAAUUGCACAUUUAUCCAAUUUAGAAAUAUGUCCAGUAGCCAUUAUCAUUCUGAAUGUUCACUUUUAAUUUUCGACAUGGAUCUACAUCGGUAUAGAAAACUGCACACUUUCCUUUUCUCUGCAAAUACGGCACAAUUUUAUUAGUUAUUAUUCUCAUGUUAUACAAUAGAUCACUGGUCUUGUUCAUCCUACAUAUCUGCCACUUUGUAACCUCUAACCUACUUAUCCCCAUUUUCUUCCCACCCCCAGCUCCUGGUGACAACUCUUUUAUACUCCAUCUCUGUAUAUUUUUACUCUUCUUUAAAGAUUCCACAUGUAAGUGAGAUUAUGCAACAUUUUUUUGUGUCUGUCUUAUUUCACUUAGCAGAAUAUCAUCCACAUCCAUCUAUUUUGGGACAAAUGCUGGGGUCUUCAUUUUUAAGGUUGAAUAAUAUUUCAUUGUGUAUGUGUGUGUAUAUUAGGCAGAUAAUCAAUAAGCAAUUGAAUGACAAAAUUGAAUGAAUAUUAAGGACACAUACACACACUUUUUUAUCCAUUCAUUUGUCAAGGCAUACUUAGGUUGUUUCCAUAUCUUGGCUAUUUGUGAAUAAUGUUGCAAUGAUCAUGAGAGUCCAGAUAUCUUUAUGGAGUGAUUAUUUCACUUCCUUUUGGUAUAUGACCAGAAAAGGAACUGCUGGGUCAUAUGAUAGUUCUAUUUUUAAUUUCUUUUGGAAGCUCCACACUGUUUCCAUUAUGGCUACACCAAUCUACAUCUCUACCAACAGUGUACAAGGGUUCCCUUUUCUCCACAUCAACAUUUUUGCCAACAUUUGCUAUUUCUUGACUUUUUGAUAAUAGCCAUCCUAAGGAAUGUGAGGUGAUAACUCAUAGUGGGUUUGAUUUGCAUUUUCUUAGUGACUAAAAUGUUGAGCACAUUUUCAUAUAUCUGUGGGCCAUUUUUUAUGCCUUCUUCUCUAUUCAGGUCCUUUGCCCAAUUUUUAAUUGGGUUGCUUGUUUUUCUACUGUUGAGGUGUGUGAGUGCUUUAUACAUUUUGGAUACUAACCCCUUAUCAGAGAUAUGGUUUGUAAACAUAUUUUUCCCAAUCCAUAGGCUGCUGUUUCAUUUUUUUGAUUGUUUCCUUUAUGUAGAAGCUUCUUGGUUUGAUGUAGUAAUAUUUAUUUAUUUAUUGUUAUACAGCCUAAGAUUUUGGUAUAGUAUCCAAAUAUCAUUGCCAAGGCCAGUGUCAAGGAACUUUCCACCCAUGUUCUCCUCAAGGAAUGUUAUGGUCUCAGGUCUUACAUUUAACUCUUUUAUCUAUUUUGAGUUGAUUUUUGCAUAUGGUAUAAAAAUCCAAUUUUACUCUUUUACAUAUGGAAAUAAAGUUUUCCUAGUGCCAUUUACUAAAGAAACUAUUCUUUCCCAAUUGUGUUCUCUUGGUGCCCUUGUCAAAACUUAGUUGACCCUAUGUGUUCUAAUUGAUUUCUGGGCUCUGUAUUCUAUUCCACUGGUCGAUAUGUCUGUUUUAAUGGCAGUACCCAUACAGUUUUAAUUACUGUAGUUUUAUAAAAUAAUUUUAAAUCAGUAAUUAUAAUGCCCCAAUUUUCUUUUGCUUGCUUAGAAUUGCUGUGGCAAUUUUUUUAGUUCCUAAGAAAUUGUGGAAUUAUUUUUCCUAUUUCUGUGACAAAUGCCACUGCUAUUUUUACAGGGAUUGAAUCUUUAUGUAGCUUUGAAUAGUAAGAACAUUUUAACAAUAUUGAUUCUUUGAAUCUAUGAGCAUAGGAUGUCUUUUCGUUUAUUUGUAUCUUAUUUAACUUGUUGCAUCAGUGGGCUUGGUUACAUUUAUUCCCAGGUAUUUAUAUGCUAUCAUAAAUGUGAUUGUUUUAUUGACAUAUUUUUCAGCUAAGUUAUUAUUUAUGUAUAAAAAUGCUACUAAUUUUUUGGGUGUUGAUUUUGUAUCCUGCAACUUUACUUAAUUCAUUUAUUAGUUCUAAAAGUUUGUGUGUGUGUGUGUGUAUACACUCUGGGGUUUUCUACGUAUAAAAUCAUGUCAUCUGCAAAUAGAAAUAAUUUUACUUCUUUUUUUUUCCAAUUUGGGUGUCUUUGUUUUAUUUUCUUCCUGUUUGAUUAGUCUUGCUAAUACUUCCAGUACCAUGUUGAAUAAAAAAGGCAAAAGUAAACACCCUUGCCUUGUGUAGGAUUGUAGUAAAUAUCCUUUCAGCUUUUCUUCAUUGAUCAUGACGUUAGUUGUGAGUUUUUUUAAAUAAAUGAUCUUUAUUAUGUUGAGAAACUUUCCUUUUAUACCUAAACUGUUGAUGGCUUUUAUCAAGAGAGAAAGUUGACCUUUGUUGAAUGCUUUUUCUGUGUAAAGUGGGAUAAUUACGUGGUUUUAAGCUUUCAUUCUGUUAAUAUGAUGUAUCACAUUUAUUGAUUUGCAUAUGUUAAACCAGACUUGCAUGCCGAGGAUAAAUUCCGCUUAAUCAGGAUGUAUAAUCUUUUUGUUACGUUGAAUUUGUUAAUAUUUUAUUAAGGAUUUCUGCAUCAAUGAUUCUCAGAGAAAUUGACCUGUAAUUUUCUUUUAUUGUGAUAUAGCUGCCUGGCUUAGAUAUUAAGGUGAUACUUUUCUCAUCAAAUGUGUUUGGAAGUACUACCUCUAGUUUUAUUUUGUGGAAGAGUUUCAGGAGUAUUAGUAUGAAUGAAUUCUUCUUUGAAUGUUUGGUAGAAGUUAUCUAUGAAGCCAUCUGCUUCUCGGGUUUUCUUUGUUGAGAGGUGUUUUAUUACUUCUUUAAUAUCUUUAUUUGUUAUUGUUCUGUUCAAGCUCUCUACCUCUUCCUGUUUCAAAUCUUGGUAGGUUGUAUUUUUCUAGGAAUUUAUCCAUUUCCUCUAGCCUAUUUAAUUUGUUUGCAUGUAAUUGUUCAUAAUAGCCCUUUAUGAUCCUUUUUAUUUCUGAGGCAAAUGUUGUAAUGUCUCUACUUUCAUUGUUGAUUUUAUUUAUUGUUUUUCAUUUAUCCUUACUUAGUCUAGCUAAGGGUUUGUUGAUUUUAUUUUUGUUAAAAAACUCUUAGUUCUAUUUGUUUUUCUAUGGUGUUUGCAUUUUCUAUUUGAUUUAUUUCUGUUUUGAUCUUUACUAUUUCUUUUCUUUUGCGAACUUUGAGUUUAGUAUGCUCCUCUUUUUCCAGUCCCUUGAGGUGUAAUGUUAGAUUAUUUACUUUGAAUCUCCCUUCUUCUUAUUUUGUUUUGAGACAGGGUCUCAUUCUGUUGCCCAUGCUGGAGUGCAGUGGCACAAUCCUGGCUCACUGAAACCUCCACUUCUGGGGCUCAAGCAAUCCUCCCAUCUCAGUCUCUUGAAUAGCUGGGACUACAGGCACGCAUCACCAUGGCAAGCUGAUUUUUGUAUUUUUUUUGUAGAGAUGAGGUUUCACCAUGGUGCCCAGGCUGGUCUUGAACUAAUGGGCUCAAGUUAUCCACCUGCCUACACCUCCCAAAGGGCUGGGAUUACUGGUGUGAGCCACCAUGCCUGGCCCUCUUUCUUGUUUUUUAAUAUAGACAUUUAUUGCUAUGCACUUCCCUCUUAAAACUACUUUUGUUGCCUCCCAUAGGUUGUGUUUUGCUGUGUUUCCAUUACAUUUGUCUCCAUAUACUUUUAGAUUUCCCUUGUGAUUUAUUGUUUGACCCAUUGGUUGUUUCUUUAUCCAAUCUUGCCUUCCCUUCCAUAGAUAUUGAUUCUGAAAGCACAACCAACCUUUCUGUACUCUGAUCUCUGUCUUAAAGUCUCCUUCUUAGCAAACCAACCUGUGCUUUCUUCUUUCAUAUCUUUUCUCCUUUCAGCUACAAUCUGAUUUUUCUUGUGUUUACAGCAAAACUGAAAAGAUUUUUUUAUAUUCAUCAUUUUCACAUCCUUACCUUCCAUUUUCUCUUGAACACACAACAAUUAGACUUAGUUGCUGCUGCUCCAUAGAAACUGUUCUUGUCAAGGUCACCACAAAUUCAUCCUGUCAAGUCCCAUCAUCCUCAUGUUGGAUUACCUCUCAGCAACAUCUGCCAUAGUUAAAUAAUCUUCUUCCCAAGAAUGUACUUGGUUCCUGGGAUAUCACACUCACUUGGUUUUCCUUUCCUCACUUGCUGUUUCUUCUCAGUAUCUUUUGCUGGGUCACCUUCAUCUUUCCAAUCUUUAAAUGUCUGUGAACUCCAGAACUUCAUCCUUGACUUUCUUAUUCAUCUUCAAUUACUCCCUAGGUCAAAAAUCAGCAAACUUUUCCCAUAAAAGACCAGAUAGUAAAUAUUUUAAACUUUAGGGCAAUGUGGUUUCUGCUGCACCUACUUAACUCUGCCAUUGUAGUGCAAAAGUUUCCAUAUAGAAUAUACAAAAACAAACAUUUUCAUGUUCCAAUAAAAACAACCAAUGGCCAUAUUUGGACUGAUGGUUAUAGUUUGUAGAUCUCUGUUCUAUGUAAUCUCAUCUGGUUCCACAACUUUAAAUGUUAUUACUGACUACCGUAAAUUCCAGACUGAGAUAGUUAAGCUGCUACUUGGCAUCGCUCAAAAGUAGUAUGUACUAAAAGGAAACUUUGGACUUUUGUUGAUCUAUUCCUCAACCUGUUUCUCUCCCAGUCUUUCUUACUGGCAAUGCAAGACACAUCACCAUUUGCGCCUUAUUGAUACCACCUCAUUACCUUUAUCCUUCAUUGCCAGCCAGGUUCAAGACAUGAAAUUCAUUCAUCUGGAUUAGUUCAGUAGUAUUGAGCAGGUCUUUCUGCUUUCCCUCUAAGCUCCCAAGAGCCUAGUCUUUGUAGAAUGGCAAAAAUAAAUUUCUUGAACAUUUCUUUUAAAAAAGAAAAUUAGAUUUUAACAUUUCCUUCUCAUUUUGAACAAAUUUCAAGCUUCUUCCCAAGACCCAGAAGGUCCCAAAUGAUCUGGUCUUUCCUCACGUUUGUGGUUUUGUGGUCUGUUCUUCAUGCUCAUUCCCUCCCAGCCACACUUGUCUUUUUGCUGUUUUGAGUGUUCAGUUUAUACUUGCCAUGAGGCCUUUGCUGACCCCUCUAUUUGGAAAUAUUUUCCCCCAAUUUCUAACUUGCCUCAUAUCCUUAACUAAUUUGGGUUUUUGUUUAAAUAUCAUCUCUUCAGAGAAAGAUGUUUUGAUUCCCUAUCUUAAUAGAUUCCUCCCAUCAUUACCCAGUUCCUUUUUACCUUGCUUUAUCUUUUAAAAACGAUACUUAAUGAGUACCAAAAAUUAUUUUGUACAUUUAUUUCUUUAUUUGUUAUUUCCCUCUACUACAAUAAAAAUUUGAGAGGGCAGAGACCAUGUGUCAUUUGUUUCUUGCUCUAUUUAUGAUGCAUAUAAAAGUAUGUGGAAUGUAUCAGGAAAACAAUAAAAAUUUGUUAUUGUUUUUCAUUUAAGCAUGAUGU
rnacentral:lncRNA from 1 species